rnacentral:rRNA from 1 species
GUGGGGAAUAUUGGACAAUGGGCGAAAGCCUGAUCCAGCCAUGCCGCGUGUGUGAAGAAGGUCUUCGGAUUGUAAAGCACUUUAAGUUGGGAGGAAGGGCAGUAAGUUAAUACCUUGCUGUUUUGACGUUACCGACAGAAUAAGCACCGGCUAACUUCGUGCCAGCAGCCGCGGUAAUACGAAGGGUGCAAGCGUUAAUCGGAAUUACUGGGCGUAAAGCGCGCGUAGGUGGUUUUGUAAGUUGGAGGUGAAAUCGCCGGGCUCAACCUGGGAACUGCAUCCAAAACUGCAUGACUAGAGUACGGUAGAGGGUAGUGGAAUUUCCUGUGUAGCGGUGAAAUGCGUAGAUAUAGGAAGGAACACCAGUGGCGAAGGCGACUACCUGGACUGAUACUGACACUGAGGUGCGAAAGCGUGGGGAGCAAACAGGAUUAGAUACCCUAGUAGUCC